rnacentral:snRNA from 1 species
ACACUUACCUGGCAGGGGAGGCACCACGGUCCUGAAAGUGGUUUUCCCAGGGCGAGGCGUAUCCAUUGCACUCUGGAUGUGCUGACCCCUGGGACUUGCCCAAUGUGGGAAAUUAUCUGCAUAAUUUGUGGUUGUGGGGGGCUUGCGUGCUCUCCCCUA